AUUGAACGCUGGCGGCAGGCCUAACACAUGCAAGUCGAACGAGUGGCGGACGGGUGAGUAAUGUCUGGGAAACUGCCUGAUGGAGGGGGCUAACUACUGGAAACGGUAGCUAAUACCGCAUACCAUCGGAUGUGCCCAGAGGGGAUUAGCUAGUAGGUGGGGUAAAGGGUCACCUAGGCGACGAUCCGUAGCUGGCCUGAGAGGAUGACCAGCCACACUGGAAAUGAGACACGGUCGAGACUCCUACGGGAGGCAGCAGUAGGGAAUAUGGCGCAAUGGACGAAAGCCUGAUGCAGCAAUGCCGCGUGAGUGAAGAAGGAUUUCGGGUUGUAAAGCACUUUCAGCAGGGAAGCGUUACCUACAUAAGAAGCAACGGCUAACUCCGUGCCAGCCGACGCGGUAAUUC
rnacentral:rRNA from 1 species